rnacentral:rRNA from 1 species
AGGGCACCACCAGGAGUGGAGCCUGCGGCUUAAUUUGACUCAACACGGGGAAACUCACCAGGUCCAGACAUAAGAAGGAUUGACAGAUUGAAAGCUCUUUCAUGAUUUUAUGGGUGGUGGUGCAUGGCCGUUCUUAGUUCGUGGAGUGAUUUGUCUGGUUAAUUCCGAUAACGAACGAGACCUUGAUCCAAUACUACCUGGCUUGAUCUUUUGAUCAAGGGUACAUCCUUUCGGGGAUCCAGGUUCUUUUGGAGACUAUUUGGCUUGAAGCCAAAGGAAGUUUGAGGCA